ACAGAGCACUGGUCAUAGAUUGCACAUCUAUUCCACUUAGAGACACUAGAAUCCCUAGAAGGUGUGUCCACUAUUUUCCCAGUGGUGUGUGAAAGGCAGGCCAGCUCCUGAACCCCAACUUGUUCCUCAAGCUUUUGUGCCCUGGUCUGUAUCAAAAGACAGAAUCUUGACGACUAAGACAUUUUCUUUGGAAAUCUUAAAAAAAAAUGGCUGAUAUUGCCUGGACUUGUUGAGGCCGGAGUUGCAGUGGCAUAUAAUCACCAAAGAAUCCUGAGUCUGGGUCAGGUAACACAAUACAGAAGGCCAGUGUUGUGCUGUGUCCCUGGGAUAUUUGUGAAUAUUGCCACCUAUUUGACAGCUUGCAGGUACAAGAGAGGGCAAUAUCUUCAAUCCAAGGCAAUGGGCAAGUAUAUUUGAACACAGAAUGAUAGCCACAAGACAUCUGCCUGGGUUUGGUAUGGUAUACCACAGCAAGGCUACAGCCAUGUAGAAGAAAAUACCUUUGAAGAGGCUUAGCAUGUCCUCCCUCAUGAAGAAGAGGAGGAGGAAGUCUUCUUCCAACACCCUGAGGAAUAUUAUCGGCUGCAGAAUUUCUCAUUGUUGGAAGGAAGGUAAUGAGCCUGUCACCCAAUGGAAGGCCAUAGUUCUAGGUCAACUGCCAACAAACCCUUCUCUUUACUUGGUGAAGUAUGAUGGAAUUGACAGCAUCUAUGGACAGGAGCUCUACAGUGAUGACAGGAUUUUAAACCUUAAGGUUUUGCCUCCCAUAGUAGUAUUUCCUCAGGUGAGGGAUGCCCACCUUGCCAGAGCCCUGGUUGGCAGAGCGGUACAACAAAAAUUUGAGGGGAAAGAUGGCUCUGAGUUCAACUGGAGGGGGGUGGUGCUAGCCCAGGUGCCAAUCAUGAAGGAUUUGUUUUACAUUACCUACAAGAAGGAUCCAGCUCUCUAUGCUUAUCAGCUCCUGGAUGACUACAAGGAAGGUAACCUCCACAUGAUUCCAGACACUCCUCCGGCUGAGGAGAGAUCAGGAGGUGACAGUGAUGUGUUGAUAGGUAACUGGGUGCAGUACACCAGAAAAGAUGGUUCUAAAAGUUCGGAAAGGUUGUUUACCAAGUUCUAGACAAUCCUUCCGUGUACUUUAUCAAGUUUCAUUGUGACAUCCAUAUCUAUGUCUAUACUAUGGUGCCAAAGAUUCUUGAAGUUGAAAAAUCAUAAAGUACAGAAAUGUAAACAUAUAGGACUGGAAGAAAAAAAAAGUUUUUUGUUUUUUUUUUCCUGUGUUGGCUACAUAAGGGUCUUUGACAAUCCCAGUAUCUUUGCCAAUAAAAUGUAUUUUGUUCUAAAAA
rnacentral:lncRNA from 1 species